ensembl:misc_RNA Metazoa_SRP Metazoan signal recognition particle RNA
GCUGGGAGUGGUGGUGAACACCUGUAAUCCCAGCUACUUGGGAGGCUGAGGCAGGAGAAUUGCUUGAACCCAGGGGGCAGAGGUUGCAGUGAGCCAAGAUCACAGCCACUGCACUCUAGCCUGGGUGACACAGCAAGACUCUGUCUCAA